rnacentral:rRNA from 1 species
CCCUUAGAUGUUCUGGGCCGCACACGCGCUACACUGAAGGAGGCAGCGUGUACUCCUGGAUCGAAAGAUUUGGGUAACCCGCGAAUCUCCUUCGUGCUAGGGAUUGAGGUUUGCGAUUAUCCUUCAUGAACGAGGAAUUCCCAGUAAGUGCAAGUCAUAAGCUUGCGCUGACUACGUCCCUGCCCUUUGUACACACCGCCCGUCGCUACUACCGAUUGAAUGAUUUAGUGAGGACUUCGGACUGGGACCGAUGCGGCUUUCGGGCUGCGUCGGUAUUCUGGAAAGAUGUCCAAACUGUAUCAUUUAGAGGAAGUAAAAGUCGUAACA